GUGCUCACUUUGGCAGCACAUCUACUAAAUUGGAAUGACGCAGAGUAGAUUAGCAUGACCCUGUACACGGAUGACAUGCAAAUUUGCAAAACACAUUAAAAAAAC